rnacentral:lncRNA from 1 species
AAUGAAUGUCACUUAACCUUAAGGAUGUCUGCUGGUCAUGUUUUUGAAUUCUUGUCAUAUUUUCGAUUUUCUCAGGUUUUAUCCAUACAAAUGUAUUAAAAUAUUUUUUACACGAGACCCCACUUUUGUCUUCAUAAAUCUGUUCAAUAGAUCAUUGAUGAACAUUUGAAUUUUUGUCAUGAAAUCCUUGUUAUUUUUUCUUGGUUUAAAGGGUAAAAAACAAUUCCAAUGUUAACAAAUAGUAAAGUCUGAAGAAAACCCUUUUCCCGCCAUUUUCUAAAUGUCUCGUAUUUUGAAAACUACACACGAG